CUACAGCCAAUUAAGUGGGCCACCCUCCAUCUCACUGGGGCCGGUGUUCAAUGGCCUCGAACACCAGCCUCUUUGGUAAUACAUGCAACCUGUUAGCAUGUAUAGGCUACUCUAAGGGACCUUGGAGAUGGCC
ensembl:snoRNA SNORA70 Small nucleolar RNA SNORA70